rnacentral:rRNA from 1 species
UACGGGGGGGGCAAGCGUUGUUCGGAUUCAUUGGGCGUAAAGGGUGCGUAGGCGGCGCGGUAAGUCGGAUGUGAAAUCUCGGGGCUUAACUCCGAAACUGCAUUCGAUACUGCCGUGCUUGAGGACUGGAGAGGAGACUGGAAUUUACGGUGUAGCGGUGAAAUGCGUAGAUAUCGUAAGGAAGACCAGUGGCGAAGGCGGGUCUCUGGACAGUUCCUGACGCUGAGGCACGAAGGCCAGGGGAGCAAACGGG